rnacentral:lncRNA from 1 species
CAGUCUCCUGCCAUGCAAAGAAGGCUCAUAGAGUUGCUUUGGAAGUGGAUUCUUUGUACAGCCUGGAAGAAGACGCUGUGUAAAUGACAUGCUUUGGGGGCUCCCCCGGCCACAGAAGGAGAAAACUGGAGCCUUCUGAUUUCCUGUUGUUUACUUUCCAGAGGCUGGAGUUGGGUAGGAAACCUGAGCAUACCGGCACACUGGCUUGUGGGUGACUUCUCUCCCUGCUGUAUUUCCCGGACAGGUGAGGCGGACCCUGUUCAUCACAGGACUCCCCAGAGAUGCCAGGAAGGAGACUGUGGAGAGCCACUUCCGGUAAGCAGGUGGGGUGGGAGGGGAGCUGAGCCCCCUCCACGUAGGACCAACACAGCCCCACCCGCAGGGCGAGCACCUUAGGUGAGCGCCUUCUGUCUCUCGCUUGGGUAUCCAGGUGAGAUCUGAGAAGGACCUGGCCCUGCCACACGUGUAUGGAGUGGCUCCUGUGUGCCAGCCCUGCUGGUGCUGUGCAGUGAAUAGCGCCCUGGUGGCCUAUCCUCUUCAAGCAGCCUGUGCACAGUGUCCAGAGCACAGACCAGGGUGUAGGUGCGAAUAAACGUCUUGAGAGCAUACGGGGGAAAAAAUUGUUGACCCCGGGGUUCUUAGCAUCACCUUUGCAGAAUAAGAGAGACGUGAGCUGAGCAUUUGUAUGGACCCACAGGGCUAGGGUCUCACAGGUGGAAGGACCUCGGGGCCAUCUCUGCGUUUGUUCGUUUGUCCACCCACUGAGCGGGUGUCUGUUGAGUGAGCACUGUGUCUGAGUCCAGGCUCUCCCUGGUAGAACCUCCUUUCCAGCGGCUCCCUUUGAGUAUCUGCACCACCAAUUCCUGCAGAUGGAGGCUGGAGGAAAGUCUUUCCUGUGAGGAGAUUACGUGUGCAGCCAGGGAUGCGGGGAAAGGCCCAGAGCAUCAGGAAAGGUGGCGGUGGGGUGCAGGGGGGCAGGGCAAGCAGUCCGGGAAGGCUCCCAGGACCCCAUGCUGGAGGACCUGAAGGCUGGGCUGAGGAGCUGACAUUUUAUUCUUUCUUCAUUCCUUUUUUUGUAAUCUUAUUUUUUUAGAGACAGGGUCUUGCUCUGUUGCCCAGGCUAGAGUUCAGUAGUGCAAUAAUAGCUUACUGCGGCCUCAACUCCUGGACUUAAGGCAUCUUCCUGCCUCAGCCUCCCAAGUAGCUGGGACUGCAGACACAUGGCACCACACCCAGCUAAUUUUUAAAUUUUUUAUGGAGAUAGAGUCUUGCUAUGUUGCCCAGGCUGGUCUCGAAUUGCUGGGCUCAAGUGAUCCUCCUGCCUUGCCCUCCCAAAGUGCUGGGAUUACAGGCGUGAGCCACCAUGCCCGGCCUCUCUUCAUUCCUUAUCAAUACAGCAGCCACUAAUUUGUUGCAUGGACUAGGAGUUGGCUGCACUUUAACUUUGCACUAUUUGUGAAGAAAGCACUUGCUAAGCAAAUUGCUAGACAGGAUCGUAAACUGAAUGUUUAAAAUUUGAAAAACUUCUUCAGAAACUCUAAGUAUUUUAGAAAUAUUUACUAAUAUGUAAAUACUCAAUACCAGAAUCAUUUUUCUGUAUUUCCUUGAAGCAACUCCUCAAAGUUGCCUGCUAGGCAACACCUGGAAACAGUAAUUCCACUUAAUGUAUAACUUUAAAGAGAAAAAAAAAGUCUCCUCAUUCUCAUACAAACAUUGCAUGACUCAUGCUUUCCCCUAUUUUAAGAGGCCUUUUUAGUGAAUGCUGUUGCAGUCCGUGGGGAUUGAUGUAUGAAUUUGCCUUUCAAGCAGGGAUGCUUAAAUUGCAGUUUUCUUCCUCACAGCUCUUAUUGAGACCAGAAAUUGUCCUACUGUUUAAUUUCAUGAUUGAUAUACCUAUGGGCUGUCUCUCUCACUAAAAUGUAAGCACAUCCAGGCCCUGUUACCAGCACCUAGAACAGUGCCUGGCAGGUGGUAGGUGGGGAUUUACAUGGUUCUGGAAUCCCCUGGAAUUGUAUGUAUAAUUUUGCGUGUAUGGUGAGGGGGUAUUGCAUGGUGGCCAUGAGCAUUGACCUUGGAGCCAGGUUGCCUGUAUUCACCUCCUGGCUCAGACACUCACUAGCUGUGUGAUCUUGGGCACAAGCCACUUACCUCUGUCGGCCUCAGUUUACUCAUCUGUAAAAUGGGGACAAAACCUCACAGGUUAUGAUGAGGAUUAAAUAAAUAAAUAUAUGUAACAAUACCUGGUCAAUAGUGAGUAUGUAUUUUCCUGGGUGACAGAGUGAGACCCUGUCUCUAAACAAAACAAAACAAAACAAAAGCCCUCUUUGUAUUAAAUUUCAAAAUUUCCCCCUUUUGGAGGAUAAAAGACAAAGAGAAGAGAGGUCUCCGCUGGCACAGAAACCAGCAGCGAGAUCACUCUGCCAUCCUUUCCCUUGGAUCCGUGGGCACGUCUCCUGCUUGGGGUGUUUUCUUUUCCAACGGUGUCUUUUGCCUCCUUCUCUCCCUGGCCACAGGGACGCGUAUCCCACGUGUGAGGUGGUUGAUGUGCAGCUGUGCUACAACGUGGCCAAACUGAUCUACCUGUGCAAGGAGAAAAAGAAGACUGAGAAGAGCCUGACCUAUUACACAAACCUGCAGGUGAAGACAGGCCAGCGGACCCUCAUCAACCCCAAGCCCUGUGGCCAGUUUUGCUGCUGUGAAGUGCUGGGCUGUGAGUGGGAAGACGCCAUCUCUUACUACACACGGAUGAAGGACAGGCUGCUGGAGAGGAUCACAGAGGAAGAACGCCACGUCCAGGACCAGCCCCUGGGAAUGGCCUUCGUCACCUUCCAGGAGAAGUCCAUGGCCACCUAGUGAGUGUAGGCACAUCCAGACCCCUUCUUGGCUGACUCCCUGUUCCCCUCCAGAUAACUCACUGUCCCUCUCGAGUGGAGAUGGUACUGCUGACCCACCAUCCCUGGGAUUUAUCUGUGGUGUUUCCUUCUCCUCCCUCAGCUACCCACACUCACUUUCAGCCAGCCCAGCCCAUGUUUGUGUAACAGGCGGUGGGGGUGUGGGCAGCAGCCACGGAGUGGGUGAUUCUGGCUGACCCCCUCGAGCUGAUGUGGCCUGGCCCCACUGCUGGGCUCUUCCCUGCUGCCCUGGACCCAUCCUGUUGGCUUCAUGUGCCAGCCUUGCCCCAGGGGAGAUGGAGGCACCCUCCUUUCAGACAUCUGCUCUGGGCCACAGAUCCUUCUGUCUGUGGCUCCCCACCUUCCCACAAAUGCAAAGCUGUGGGGAAGACCCCUGGGGCACGCUGGGGCGCUCACUGCAGUGGGGAGCUUGACCCUGGGGAGUGGCUUUUCACAGUGGCCCUUGGCAUGGGACUCUAGGCUCUCAUGCCUGUGGUCUCAGUGUCAUCUCGCCUUAGGAGCAGCACAGGGUGGGUCGGGAGAGGGGUGUGGAAAGGUGUCCAGCCACUGCCCCAGGCAUUGUGACACUAGGAAUGGACUCACACAGGACUUCCUGCCUCCUUGCAGACACUGGGGCAGGAGGAAAGGGGAAGGCAUCUGAGGCAGGAGUAGAGGGGCUGCUGGGCUCCUUACGGGAGGUUAAAGGAGGAAAAGCUGUGACCUGUUGAGAUGGUGAGGGUCGAGGUGGGAGCCCUGAGGAGGGAAGCUUGGGAACAGGCAAUGUGUAACGUGGUCUAUUGCUACACUUGGGCCUGGGGAAAAAGUGACAGAAUGAAAAGUUGAGCCACUGGCCUGGCAGUAGCACUGAUCAGAGCUCCAGCUUAACAGGCAGGGUGGAGGGGGAUGGCCCUAUGGAAGAGCAGUGUGUUGCCCUCAGUUUCCUUAUCUGUAAAAUGGGAAUCGUACUCCCUUUGUUGCUGGUGGUUGCGAGGAUUAAACAAAAUUCUCCACACACUGUGCUAGCGUGGCACCUCUUACAUAGCGUUACUCAUAAUACACUAAUCACAACAAAGCAAAGGUCCUAUGCCACUGCCUCCCACUCCUACUCAGUCCCCACUUGCCACAUGUGUGCUUGGUAACCUGAGUAGCCUGGGCCUGGCUGUUGCUACAUUUCCUUGCAGCAUCCUGAAAGAUUUCAAUGCCUGCAAGUGUCAGAGCCUUCAGUGCAAAGGUGAGCCCCAGCCGUCCUCCCAUAGCAGGGAGCUCUAUACCUCCAAGUGGACAGUCACCUUUGCUGCUGACCCUGAGGACAUCUGCUGGUAAGCUCCUAGACCAAGGAGAGGUGGGAGAGAGGCCUGGGUUCCUGGUGGGAGCUGCCCAUCACCUGGAGCACAGGUGUGACCUGGCAGUCAAUGGAGAUCUCCACACAUCUGCAAUUCUGUGGGCUGUGAUGCUGUGAUGUGCUCGGUGUGGCCCAACUGGGGUAUCUGCCCAGCCCUUCCCUCCAGUGUUCCUCCCUAGCAUUCAAGUGCUACCCAGCAGAAAUAUAAUGCCAGUUCUGCAUCUAAUUUUAAAUUUCCUAAUAGCCAUGCUAAAAAAGUAAAAAGAAACAGUUGAAAUUAAUUUUAAUAAUGUAUCUCGCCCAAUAUAUCCAAACUGUUAUUUCAACAUGCAAUUUUUGAAAAAUGUGAGAUGUUUUACAUUCUCUUUUUCACACUUAGUCUUCAAUAUCUGGUGUGUAUUUUACACUUCUAGCACCUCUCAAUUCACACCAGCCACAUUUAAAAUGCUCAGUAGCCGCAUGCAGCUUGUGCAGCCUUACUUAGGUCCAGUGUCAGCCUGGGGCCGUGCUGGGGAGCUGAGCUGUGUCCAUGGGGGCCCUGGUGAGCCUCCAGUGCUGUGCUGAGGGUAAGGGCACCCAGCGCAAGCCCCAGCGCAGCUGCCUGUCCAGCCCUGCCUCAGCUCCUUGCACAGAAUGAGCUUGAAGUGCUCCCCUCUGCUCGGUUCUAGUUCUGCCUCUGACAGUUUUGCUCUUUGGUUCACAAGGCUUCCUAAACUCAGGAUUGCUUUGUGGGUCUGUUCUUUGGGAUGAGAGGCCAGGGCAGGUGCAAGCUAUGCCUUCACUCCUUUGUCCCUGCCUUCCUCCUUCCUGUACCCCAGCUACAGCCCCGUUGGGAAGAAUGUGUCGUUAGUCACAAAGCAUUGCAGAUGUGUCUAAGAAAUGCCACGCUGGGGCCGGGCGUGGUGCUCACACCUGUAAUCCCAGCACUUCGAGAGGCUGAGGCAGGCGGAUUGCCUGAGCUCAGGAUUUCAAGACCACCCUGGGUAACAUGGUGAAACCCUGUCUCUACUAAAAAUACAAAAAAAUUAGCUGGGUGUGGUGGUACACGCCUAUAGUCCCAGCUACAUGGGAGGCUGAGCAGGAGAAUUGCUUGAACCUGGGAGGCAGAGGUUGCAGUGAGCCGAGAUCACACCACUGCACUCUAGCCUGGGUGACUGAGCAAGACUCUGUCUCC